UUGCGUCGCGCGUGCCUGCGAGCUGAGGGAAAAGGGCAGUCGCUCCCCUUCUCCUCCUACGGCGCCGCUCGCCGCCCCUCUCCUUCUCCUCCCAGCGCGCCGCCGUCUUGGCCGCCGCCCAGUUCCCUCGCUCACGUAGCCACGCUCACGCCCACGCCCCUCUGUUCCUCCUCUUCCUCGCGAGAGGAAUUGCUGUGACGCCUCCAUCUCGUUCCUCCUCCUCCUCCUCGCCGCACCUCCUCCUCCCACCUCUCUCCUCCCGUCCUCCCUCUCCCUCAUCUCUCUCUGAUGGCGGCGGGUCGCCUUGGACGCGAGCGCCGCGCCAGCACGAGCUGGGCGCCGUAUUUGGGCGUGGGCAUCGCUUAAGGCGCAAGCAUGUUGCUGCAGGUGGAGGUACUGACAAGGAGGAGGCAAGGCAGGUGGAGGACGACAGGAAGCACCUAUGGCUGACCCGCAAAUGGGAUAAUUGGCGGCAGCGGUUUCCCGAUGGUGGCCCAGAACCGAGCGUGGCGGCUACGGCCUCCUCUCAGAUGGCUUCUUCCCCAUUGGCCCGACGACCAAGGGUACUAGCUUGAGAUUAUCUCAAGCAGUAAUUUUUGAAAGAACAAAAUUACUGGGGCCAGAAAGUAUCAAGGUAGCUACAUGAGGUUACUUUCUAUAUUUGUGUGCAUGCCCGCUUGGUAGGCUUUCCAAGAAAUUGUUGUACUGAAGUGAAGACCUUUCUACCUACUGGUUUGGUAGUUAAGCUACAUUUUAGCAAAGAAUGAAGAAGAGUGGUCAGAGAAGUGUCACACAGAUCAUAGAUGCAACUCCAUCUCAAGAGCAAUAUCACCUGCAUCUUCUUUCAUUAUUUCUUUUUGUAUCAUAUUUGCUGCAUAGCUUUGUUUAUAGGAGGCCAAACCCACCCUUUUGUACUUGGUUUUAACUUCAUGUAUUUGGUUGUUUUGUUCUUAUCCAGGUCUGCUAGAAGAAUUUACAAAUGAUUAUCUCCUUCGACCUAAAGGGGCUUUUGGCAGACACCUAAUGGGGCUUCUGACAGACAAGAAAUCCUGUAAAAAUCUGAAGACAGGUCAUCUAGGCAAUGUAACACUUUGUAUCACGAGAUGUCUCAUUUGUCAGAUGAUUUUUUGAUAUUUUGUUUGCUUGACAAUGUAUAUGAAACUAUGAAUGCGAACACUAGCACAUAUAGUCUUUCUCACCAAAGUGAAUUCACUUUGCUGUUGUAUUAUAAACUUGUCUAACAUAAUCAUCUCAUCAGUUCUCCUUUGCAGGCUACUUUGUGCUUUACUCCAGGACCUAAUCAAAGCUUGGACGGUAACCAGAUCAAAGCGACCAACAUGUGCACAGAAUGCUGUUGUCGUGUUUGGCUCUUGCCGUUUCUUCCUUUACCGUGUGCGGGAGGUGCUGCAGUACAUCAAGUAGCUAUCCGAGUAUCUUUUUUCUUUCACACUUGUCUAAUUUCUUUGUACAAAGUUGUUCUAUAUUUUCUCUUUCUGACAUGAAUUUAUCAAUGAAAGGAAGCACCGAGUUCACCAAUUAAUUUUCUUUGGAGUAAUUAACUUGAGAAUUUUUUUAUGGAAAGAGUUCUAGAAAUUUGUUAAUGAUAAUUCCCUAUCAUAAACAAUUGAUCUGUUGUUUUUUUUCCUCAUUCCUUAUGCAGCUACAAUAUCUUAAUCUUUGAUUGCUUUCUAUUGGUAAAAACUCACGCCUCUUUACACAUAUUGAAAGCAUCUGCAGAUCCAUGAAUACGUCUUCCUUGCGUUUACCAAUGGUGUCAGAUAUGUGAUCUGCAAAUGUAACACCAUCAGAUAUGAUAAAUGAUUAUAUGUACAUGUUCUGCUGCUUAAUUUAUAUAGUGAAGUCACGUUGGUGUAUGUAUUAUUACUUAUCAUGGUUCUCUAUCUAAACAGAGCCAUCUAUUUAUCAGAAUUAUCCGUGUUUCCUUUCUUUUUCAAUUUAUAUAAUGAAGUCAUGUUGGAGUAUACACUGGUAAUAUUGCCGAGAAACAACUAUUGAUUAGAGAUUCAAUAUGGAUUUUGGAUCUUUAUUGUGUCGGAAAACUGAGCAUUCACAGUGAUGAUUCAUCGCUUGCUGUUCAAAUCACUAGGAGGUUUUUAGAUAUUCCAUGAAAGAUGAUGCAACUAAAUAAGAAAGAAGUACUGCACAUCUUACUUUAGGUUCCAUUCACCGGUAAAAUUAUAUAAGGUGAUCAUCUGUUGUUACUUUUUGUUCCUAGCAAACAUGUUUUCGUCUGCUUUCUGUUAACCUCUUGUAUUUCUAGAGGUAUCGAAUCUGCUAUGUGGCGUCUGAUGGUACUGGUGAAAUUGACCUUCGGUUCUUUGAAAUUGAUCUGGAUAAUAUUCCACUAUUUCUUCUUUCUAAUGAUUUUGAUUCCUACUUACAGAACUACAGUCUGAAUAUGUAUUGUUUUUCACUUCAAUUUAAUUAUGCUACUUUGUCUUUCUCUCCGUCUGCAUUGUAUACUCAAGUCGACACAUUUUUUUCUUUCACUAUAUUUUGAAAACAUUGGCGAGCUAAGACUGAAAAUUAAACCUGAAACCUUAACAACACGUGUGCUUGUGCUUUAUGUACUCGGUUCCUUAUUUCUUACAGGUUACUUGUCUUCUCUGUCAGCUUGGUCUGCCUAUUGUUAAUGGUCUGAGCACUCCGUCUGCCCCAUCUACUAUGUCUUCGACAGUUAAAACCAGGACAACUUUCAGAAUUAGCUGAUCCAGUUCGAGCUCCUGUGAUCAAACCAAAACAUUUGUCGUCGUGGGAGUAUUCCGGAUGAACUUCAAGAGUGCCCGUGUUCAUCAUUCAAAAUGCAUUCCAGUGGGUCCUCAUAAUUACCAGGGUGAUUGGUUCAUUCAUCUUCUACUUCUUCGUUUGGUUCUUCAAGUACAAUAGGCUGAUGCCCCUAUAGAGUAUAAGCUCUUCAUGCAGCAGUCUCAACCUGCUAUGGCCUCUGUUAAGGUACCUGAUCAAAAGCCUUGAAUUCAUGUAAAUUAACAUUCUUUGAAAGGCUUGCAGUGCACCUAGAAGAAAAUUAGAUGGAUAUAUUUCUCGUAGUUGUAAGUGGGUUACCAUAGAAAUCUCCAUCCUUGCAAAUAUUUCACCCGAUGAAUAAAACAUAUAUAUUGUUGGGGUUUGCCAGAGAUAUAAAGGACCACAAAUCAUUGUAAGGACGUAUUUUUUUACUCACUACGCCAAGUAUAUUAUGGAUUUCUUCCUAUCAAUAUAUAUAGAAAAGCUAUUUUUACAUACCUUAUGUGACCACGCUCGGCAUUCCAAUUGCUUUUACAUAAACAUUUUGUCAUUGCAAUGGGGCUAUAAACUUUACUCUGUUUUACUUUUUUUCCACGUAUGUACAUUUUGAGUUAUCUACAUACAUGUUAUUGCUGCAUUGGUAACUUUGCUUUAGCUGGAAAAAAAGGCUAGCAAAGUAUAUUCCAUUCCGUUGAGCAGAAGAGAUCAUAUUGUUACUGUUUUUGGAGUUGGUUCAUAAUGGUGUUAUUCGUCAAUUUAUAGACCCUUCUAUAUUUUCAAUAAAGGUUGUAUAGAGAUUCAUGGCUACGUGCAUAAGCAUAAUUCAGUAAGAAUUUAUCUAUUUUCCCUGGAACACUAUUGUCCAGCAUAUACAUGUAUUUUCUGAUUCUAACAAAGAUGCAUGCUGAUCUCUGAAAAGUACAGUAUGUAUCUUUAAUCUUAGAACUGCUGCUGUGUAGCUUGAGUAGUAGGUUGAUUUAGGUUUGUACUUCUUUGUAACUGAAACUAAUUUACAUCUGCAUCUUAUUAAGUUUGGCCAACUGCCAUUUUUUUUUUUAAUAUUGUAACCCCUGAUUUGCCACCAUCGUUUGUAAAAAUGGACUUUACCAACGUGUGAAUAUCCACAGAUAUGUCUACGAAAAUUGGAGUAUGUGGUUCAGAUUUAGUAAGUUCCUUGAAUGAAACCUCUUGCCUCACUAAAAGGUCUGAUGUGCUACAUGAAUAAUGUGAAAUGAAGUCAUAUAUCCGCUGGAAUAAAAUAGGUGUACCUGUUUUUUGUUUGUUUUUUUAGUACUAUUUCACUUCAGUUAGCUGAAAGACAAUACGAUGAGCAAACUUUCUACCAUUUGAUUUUGUACUUUCUCGUGUCAAUGAGGUGACCGAGUCAACACACUCAGGUUCUUUGUACUUUGUUAUUUACUCAGUGUUUUAAUGUAGUCAAGUUCUCACAUGUCAUAAAUCCUUUUAUAUCCACUUUUCUGCAAGGAAUGUAUGUAUUUCCAUCGGAUGCACUUGGUUUUCUCUUGAUAACAUUCAAUCAUUAAUGAUUUGGCUAUUUUUUUUUGGAUGUGAAAGCACCUGUUCAUUUUUUAUCUGUAACUGAACACUGCCUCCUAUAGAUUUUCGUGUUUGUAAUUUCUGGAAAUUUGUGUUAUCAUCAACUAUGCUAUUGGUGUGUAUAUUUUCAUGGUUUAAUCAGCAUGAAGAAUACCAGUCAAGGAAACAACAUAAUCCAGUGAUCCAAGCCUUUCGAACUCGGACACAGCACUACCCAGUAGAGAACCAGCAAAUUGAGAACCAGUGAACAAGAUGCUAAAUACUGUAGCCUGCAAGAUCUUUGGAAAAAAUAUUGUUAGCUUGAAAGAAACAACAAAGAAUUUAUGACAUCAGCGUAACUGCUUCAGUGUGGGUAGACUGAACUCUUUUGAAAUGCAGCACGAGAUUUCUUUGGGAUAUACCACCACUACAUCUGAGAACAACUGCCGAUGAUGUCCUUGAUCAUAAGAUUAUCCCCAGAAAUGAAGGAUCAAUUGCAGUUUCUACUAUACGGUCUAUUUGGAAGCUACACACAUGGUGAAUUGCAGUACCAGCUGAGUUCCAAUUCCUUUCCGAAGGCGGCCUAAACUGUCUGUGGGUUAAUUAAUAUCAAUUUGGAUGUCGCCUUACCGGAUCUGGUACAGUGUCAAGGGGUAAUUAUCUGGUGGCAAGCUGCAUGCAGUAUUCAGGUAUCACAAGUCCUGUUGUAGCUGAAACUCGUGCACGUAGAGAUGCAGUUUUGCUAGCUAUGUGGAGGAACUAUCAACGAGGAACUACCCAAUGGCAGUCCAGACAGGGAUGGGAGGCUGAAGGAGGCCAGGUCUUGCGUGAGAUGGAAAUGAUCGUCUCAAACGUUCAGGAUUUUUUUUAUCUUCUGUAUCAUGAAGGCUGAAGGAAACACCAUCAUUUGAAAAGCUUUGAAAUCAUGCUACAAGUAUUAAAGGCUUUCUUAGAUUGAUGGUUUAGGUUAACUUUAUUUAGUUAUUUAGGACCAACUGCGAUAUUCAGUAUGUAUCCUGAAAUGUUAUUGUUCCAUUGAUUUGUGGUGCGUUUGUGCCUGCUAUACUAUCCUACGGAGUACUAUUUAUCUUUUAUUGUAUCUAUUAUACCUCUAGAUCGAUUAUAGCUCUAACAGUGCCUGCUCUAGAGUUAUGUGGAAAUUUUGCUGAGUUUCA